GGGGGGACGGAGAAGGCUAUGUUGGCCGGGCGACGGUUGUCCCGGUUUAAGCGUGUAGGUGUGUGUUCCAGGUAAAUCCGGUUCACUUUAACACUGAGGCGUGACGACGAGGCACUACGGUGCUGAAGCAACAAAUGCCCUGCUUCCAGGAAAAGCCUCUAAGCAUCAGGUAACAUCAAAUCGUACCCCAAACCGACACAGGUGGUCAGGUAGAGAAUACCAAGGCGCUUGAGAGAACUCGGGUGAAGGAACUAGGCAAAAUGGUGCCGUAACUUCGGGAGAAGGCACGCUGACACGUAGGUGAAGUGAUUUACUCAUGGAGCUGAAGUCAGUCGAAGAUACCAGCUGGCUGCAACUGUUUAUUAAAAACACAGCACUGUGCAAACACGAAAGUGGACGUAUACGGUGUGACGCCUGCCCGGUGCCGGAAGGUUAAUUGAUGGGGUCAGCGCAAGCGAAGCUCCUGAUCGAAGCCCCGGUAAACGGCGGCCGUAACUAUAACGGUCCUAAGGUAGCGAAAUUCCUUGUCGGGUAAGUUCCGACCUGCACGAAUGGCGUAAUGAUGGCCAGGCUGUCUCCACCCGAGACUCAGUGAAAUUGAACUCGCUGUGAAGAUGCAGUGUACCCGCGGCAAGACGGAAAGACCCCGUGAACCUUUACUAUAGCUUGACACUGAACAUUGAGCCUUGAUGUGUAGGAUAGGUGGGAGGCUUUGAAGUGUGGACGCCAGUCUGCAUGGAGCCGACCUUGAAAUACCACCCUUUAAUGUUUGAUGUUCUAACGUGGACCCGUUACCCGGGUUGCGGACAGUGUCUGGUGGGUAGUUUGACUGGGGCGGUCUCCUCCUAAAGAGUAACGGAGGAGCACGAAGGUUGGCUAAUCCUGGUCGGACAUCAGGAGGUUAGUGCAAUGGCAUAAGCCAGCUUGACUGCGAGCGUGACGGCGCGAGCAGGUGCGAAAGCAGGUCAUAGUGAUCCGGUGGUUCUGAAUGGAAGGGCCAUCGCUCAACGGAUAAAAGGUACUCCGGGGAUAACAGGCUGAUACCGCCCAAGAGUUCAUAUCGACGGCGGUGUUUGGCACCUCGAUGUCGGCUCAUCACAUCCUGGGGCUGAAGUAGGUCCCAAGGGUAUGGCUGUUCGCCAUUUAAAGUGGUACGCGAGCUGGGUUUAGAACGUCGUGAGACAGUUCGGUCCCUAUCUGCCGUGGGCGCUGGAGAACUGAGGGGGGCUGCUCCUAGUACGAGAGGACCGGAGUGGACGCAUCACUGGUGUUCGGGUUGUCAUGCCAAUGGCACUGCCCGGUAGCUAAAUGCGGAAGAGAUAAGUGCUGAAAGCAUCUAAGCACGAAACUUGCCCCGAGAUGAGUUCUCCCUGAGACUUAGAGUCUCCUGAAGGAACGUUGAAGACGACGACGUUGAUAGGCCGGGUGUGUAAGCGCAGCGAUGCGUUGAGCUAACCGGUACUAAUGAACCGUGAGGCUUAACCUUAC
rnacentral:rRNA from 1 species